rnacentral:rRNA from 1 species
UACGAAGGGGGCUAGCGUUGCUCGGAAUCACUGGGCGUAAAGCGCACGUAGGCGGAUUGUUAAGUCAGGGGUGAAAUUCUGGAGCUCAACUCCAGAACUGCCUUUGAUACUGGCGAUCUCGAGUCCGGGAGAGGUGAGUGGAACUGCGAGUGUAGAGGUGAAAUUCGUAGAUAUUCGCAAGAACACCAGUGGCGAAGGCGGCUCACUGGCCCGGUACUGACGCUGAGGUGCGAAAGCGUGGGGAGCAAACAGG